UAAAUAACUUUACACUGAAAUAGUUUUCUUCAAUCUGAAUUCAGCUAUCAAAUUUUAAUAUGUUUUAAGUCUCCAUGCUCUCUAACCAAACUGGACAAUAUUUCCCAUUGUACAAAUUUACAUUAGAAAAACUCCAAAGUACAAAUGAAGGGACAACAAAAGUAAAGGGAGAAGGAACAAACAAGAAAAAUAAGUUGUAUUGGCAGUUACAGGGGAAACUUGAGAAGGAAUGGAGUUGCCAUGACCUACCUAACAGGAAACCAAAAAUAAACAUUUUAUUAUGAAUUAAAAAAUAAAUACAAGUUUCGAAACAAUUACUCCAUUGUAGAUUUUAAAAAGCAGCUAUGGAAAUCUACUAACACAAUGGGUUGUUUUUUUUUUCUUUUUUAAGUAACCAGACUGGACCUUCUACUUUGCAGUCAUAAGCCCCUUGCAAACCUCUGGUGGUCAAAAAAAAAAAAAAGAAUACAGCUGAAAGGAGUGUGUUAGCACAGAGUUUAAAGUGGUGGGACAUACAUUUCAUUGCACUAAGGAACAAACAAAAGAAAUCAAAUCUGUAUAUAAAUUUCCCUUUCCUCUCCUUACUAUGUACUUUGCCUCUCAUAAACAAGCCUCUGUAUUAUGAGGUAAUGCCACUGUCUUGACUAUAUAUAAAAAUAAUAAAGUUUAAAGGAUAUAGAUCUGGGUAUCUAUAAACUUUAAACAAGCCAGUCCUCUCUUACUCCCCCAGAGGGUCCAACCAGCGAGUGCUAACCCUUCCAUCACUGCUCCAUGCAUGGUGCUCUCCUGGGAAGCCCGAGAGACCUGUGCCCCUUUCCUAAUCUAGGAAAAGCAGCCUGUGCUCAAGUAAGAAAGAGAGACAGUGCAAGUAAUGCACAACAGGUUACACACACCUACACCUGCUCCUGCAAAACAAGCAGAGUCACAGAAGGCAACAGUGGCCAGCCUGCAUGUGUGCGUUGGGUGCCAUCAGGCAGCUGAUGGCCGAUUCCUUUUGCAGUUGCUCAAGAAUAAUGUCACUGUCCAGCCCAGGAGAGCCUGCACUACACCCGCAGGCAGCAGGGGGGAAGGUUCCACCCAGAGAAUGGAGGGCCAGGAGGAGCUCUGCACCUGCAGUCAGGAUGGUCACAGAGCAGAUGGGCUGGCUCGUGCAUCCAGGAUGGCAGAGUCUGCUCUAGAGGCGCAGGGCAGUACUGGAGCCCAAGAAAAUUUCAAGAGUGGAAAAGAAGUAGGAGGCAGGACUUUCCUCAAUCCCAACACUGAGAUCAGACUAGCAAUGUUAAUUUGGGUUGCCAACACAUGUAAGUUGGCCACUGUCAGGUUUCUGUCAGUUGAGAAGUGUGGAGAAGGGGAGGAAGGGGAGGCAGGUAGGACACAAGGCUCAUGAAAGACUGAUGUGCUUUUUUUUUUUUGGUUGACUUUUUUUGUGUUUUUUUCUCCUAAAGGUUCACAGCUUUGAAUAAAAAAAGCACAUUUAUUGCACUUACACUUUAUUUUAGACAGAGUUAAUUUAAAUUAUGCCCUCACAACCCCCCACCAUCCCCAAAUAACCCAACACCCAAGUUUGGUCCAUUUUUCCCCCUAGAUCCAACAUCCAUGCCUAGAUGAUGGGCUUCAUUUUUUCUCCUAAUAUACCACUGAACUCCCAAACACACAGAUGGAUUUUCUCUUCAACAAGGGUGAGUAUACAAAUGCAACACAGAAUGACACUUAUCAAAACAAAACCUGACCAUCUUUCAAACCCAAAUAAACAACAAAAAAAGAAAGCAAAGUUAUUUUUGUGGUUUACUUGCUCAAAAGUAAAUGUCACACAAAGCUUAUUCUAAAGUACAGCUGCUGCAAACAUGACAAACUAGACAAAAUGACUAGACAGGCCACCCUUGAGGAGGCUGAACACACUGCUGCUGGAUGCUAUGAAGCAAAUACUAGGUAGUUUAGAAGUUCCUAAACAAAAAACCAAAACAAAAUAAAAACAAAAAACCCUCAAAACCUAAAAAGCACCUCCCCCAUCCAAAAAAAAAAAAAAAAAAAAAAAAAAAAGACAAAAUAACCAUCACAUGUACUUUUAGUGCAGAAUUUGGGGUAGGUAGAAAGAUUCCAGAUAGUUCCCGGAACAUAAGUAGAACAUUUUUACACUUUGUUUUCUAAAAGGAAUAAACCCAAAUUAAAAUUGAUCCGAUAUCUCAUAUCAACUGUGCAUUUAGACAUAACCUCGUAAGUUACAAUUAUGCCAAAAGUCCUGCCCCAAGGAAGAAAAGAUCUGAAAAAGCAUUAAUAUCCAAACCCAUUAUUUUGUCCUUUAUGGACAAGUAGGUUAAAUAUGACACUGAUAUGUAGGUACUGCCAGAUUUCUGCAUAACCAGCUGGAAAUUUGAACAAAUCAAAUUCACACCUACUGGCUCUCCCUCAGCUGACAAGACACCUACCAUCUCCCACAGUUCAUGUGCAAUAACAGGAUGUGAUCACUGAACAGCAACUGCAAGAGGCCCAGGGAAGCAGUGAGGAAACCUGCUGACAUUCCAGAAACAGAACUUAGUGCCAUUUUCUGGGACAAGGAACUAAUUGUAUGGUCUGAUAUAUAUAUGUGAACCUUGAUUAUAUGAAUGCUAGCCACCAGUUUCUCCUCAUCUAGCUCCCAUUCUCCGUCUACCAUCUCCUUCCAAGAUGCUGUAAGAGUGUAACCUCAGGCCUCUUUGGAGCUUUCUUUAACAAGAUCUGUGUCUUUGGAAGGGAAGGAGGCCUUACUGGUUUCUAAGUUAAAUGAACCUCAUUACCUGUUGAUAGAGCAGAUUUCAAGCAGCGGGUUUACUGUAACUAAAUUCGGUAUCCUUCAAUCCUUAUCUUUGAAAUGCUAACAGGUAUUUUGGGGAAUGCUCUCUGCCCUCCUUGCUCCUUUACAGGAGUUGACCAACUCCAAACUACCUACCUAAAGGGAUAGCUAUAUACAAAACUACUGCAGCAGAUGUAAACCAAAGACACUGCUCUAGUUACAAAGCACCUGGUUUACAUUCUGUUGUACUUCUUAAGGUUGCAAAGGCACAUGAUCAUUUGGCAAACUACAAAAACUGUUUUGGGGGAUCCCUAUGUAAACCAUUGAACAGAGGGUCUUGCUAGCUCUCUUUUCUAAACAAAAGAGAGAAGUUAGCUUGCAUCUGAAUUCCCUCUUGGUGUAGUCUGUAUUCUGUAGCUUUUAAAGCCUCGUCCUUCCACAGGUUCAUAGUUACUGCUAAGUCAUGGUACUGACUUAGCAGCUUCUGUGUUAGCAUCCUUGAAACUUAAAUGCAAACUUUUUCAUUUUAACAAUCUGGCUCUGCUCUUCUGAUAGUUUAUUAGGUAAGAAUCACAGCAUCAUAGAAUAUGCUGAGUUGGAAGGGACCCACAAGGGUCAUCAAAGUCCAGCUCCUGGCCCUGCACAGGACACCCCAAGAAUCACCCCAUGUGCCUGAGAGCAUUUUCCAAAUGCUUCUUGAACUCUGUCAGGCUUGGUGCUGUGCUCACUGCCCUGGGCGGCCUGUUCCAAUGUCUGACCACCCCCUGGAUGAAAAACCUUUUCCUGAUACCCAGCCUAAACAUCCCCUGAUGCAACUUAAGGCCAUUCCCUUGAGUCCUGUCAUUGGUCACCACAGAAAAGAGAUCAGUGCCUGCCCCUCCUCUUUUCCUCACGAGAAAGUUGUAACUGCAGUGAGGUUUCCACUCAGUCUCCUCCAGGCUGAGGAGCACACCAAGAGACCUCAGUUGCUCCUCAUACAGCUUCCCCUCCACCAUCCUCAUGGCCCUCCUCUGGACACUCUCUAAUAGUUUAUUACUAAUAGUCUAACAGCAAUAAUCUUUCUUACACUGUGGCACCCAAAACUGUCCCCAGCACUCCAGGUGAGGCUACCCCAGCCCAGAUGCCCCCAGGAUAGGGAUGUCCCUCCUGGCUGCCAGGGCACUGCUGGCUCAUGUUCAACUUGCCAUCGACCAGGAGCCCCAGGUCCCUUUGUGCUCUUCAGCCUCUCAUCCCCCAGUCUAUACACACAACCAGGGUUAUCCAACCCAGGUGCAGAAGCCAGUACUUGCCCUGGCCAAACUUCAUAUGCUGGGUAUGAAAUCAGUAUGAAGUAAUAAAGCAGUGAAGACAGGUCUUUCAAAUGCAUGCCAAAACAAACACCAAGUGCAAAUGCACAGUAACAAUGCUGCAGUAAACAAAGUUUGUUUUAUAAGCUUCUACAUAAAAUGCAUCACAGAAAACCAGAACACUCAGCACCUUCAGAGUGAUGCCCUAAGAGUCCACUCAUGCAGCUGCUUUUUAACUUUUUAAACUUGGCUGUACCUAGAAGCUUUGCCCUCCCACUGUGCUAGUUGCGAUACAUUUUAUCAAGAAAGGACACAUUGU
rnacentral:lncRNA from 1 species